rnacentral:lncRNA from 1 species
UGACUUUGAACUUGUGAUCCUCCUGCUUCAGCCUCUUGAGUUGCUGGGAUUACAGGUGUGUGCCACCAUGCCUGGCCAAGGCUUGAGUUUUAUAAGUGAUAUAUUUCAACACCACAACUAGGCCUUUUCAGUGAACAAAACUAGGAGCUUAUGUAUAUGUACAUAUACUAUAUACAUCCAUCUAUCUAUCUAUCUAUCUAUCUAUCUACACACACACGUAUCUAUGAUAAAAUACCUCACAAGUAAAUGUUGAUAUUUUCAAUUCAAAUUCAAAAUUACUGGCAUGUACAAGGUCCUGGGUUCCAUAUUCAGCACAGUAAAACAAAACAAAUUCAAGGUUAAUCACUUUUUUAGAAAAAUAUUUGUUAGUUGUAGUUGGACACAAUACCUUUAUUUUACUUAUUCAUUUUUAUGUGGUGCUGAGGAUUGAACCCAGGGCCUCACACAUGCUAGGUGAGUGCUACAACCCCAACCCACAAGGUUAAUCACUUUUUUACUUAAUCGCUUUUCUAGCUCUUUUCAUCCAUAUAAAGAAAUCCUAGUUUUCAGGGACAGAGAAGAUGAUAGAAUAUUCUAUAAUUAUUCAUUUUAUUUCAUAUUACACAUGAAGCAUUCUCAGAAUAAUAAUUUAACAUUACCAUAAAAAUGAGCACUGAAAACAUUUAAAAAGUAUUUUUCUAUUGUGUUUCUCCACAAUUGUUUUUAGAGGGUGUAGCUCAGUGGUAGAGCACUUGCCUAGCACAGUUAAGGCACUAGUUUCGAUCCUCAGCAUCACAUAAAAAAUAAAUAGGCUGGGGAUAUAGCUCAGUUGUAGUGUUUGCCUCACAUACACAAGGCUCUGGGUUCAAUACCCAGCACCACUAAAUAAAUAAAUAAGGUUAUAAAAAAUAUAUAUUUUAAAAAAAAUUGUGGGCUG